rnacentral:tRNA from 1 species
CUCCCCGAAGCGUUACGGUAGCGUACCUUGUUUGGAACGAGGUGGCCGUGGUUCGACUCCACGCGGGGUGACCA